rnacentral:rRNA from 1 species
UACGUAGGGGGCGAGCGUUGUCCGGAAUUAUUGGGCGUAAAGAGCUCGUAGGCGGUCCUUUGAGUCGGGUGUGAAAUUUCGGGGCUCAACCCCGGAACCGCAUCCGAUACUGGGGGACUCGAGGCAGGUAGGGGAAGGUGGAAUUCCUGGUGUAGCGGUGAAAUGCGCAGAUAUCAGGAGGAACACCCGUGGCGAAGGCGGCCUUCUGGGCCUGUUCUGACGCUGAGGAGCGAAAGCGUGGGGAGCAAACAGG